rnacentral:rRNA from 1 species
CAGUGAUAAACUGGAGGAAGGUGGGGAUGACGUCAAGUCAUCAUGGCCCUUACGAGUAGGGCUACACACGUGCUACAAUGGCGCAUACAAAGAGAAGCGACCUCGCGAGAGCAAGCGGACCUCAUAAAGUGCGUCGUAGUCCGGAUUGGAGUCUGCAACUCGACUCCAUGAAGUCGGAAUCGCUAGUAAUCGUGGAUCAGAAUGCCACGGUGAAUACGUUCCCGGGCCUUGUACACACCGCCCGUCACACCAUGGGAGUGGGUUGCAAAAGAAGUAGGUAGCUUAACCUUCGGGAGGGCGCUUACCACUUUGUGAUUCAUGACUGGGGUGAAGUCGUAACAAGGUAACCGUAGGGGAACCUGCGGUUGGAUCAC